CAAAUUCAGUUAACACAACAUUUUCGAACCCAAAAUCCAUCCCUCCUCCCCCACCUCACCCCCACCGGAAAUUUCCACCGGAAUCCUCCAUCUCCGUCGGCAAUGUGGGCGGCGAAACCUCCACAGCCACAGGCAUCCAGUUACUGUACUCUCCAAAGCUCCCUCCUCUCUCUCUCUCUCCAUUCUGACGCUACUCUCCUUCACAUAUCUCUCACUCAAAUCCUUCCACUCCCCCAAUUCUCCUCCUCAAACUCUCUCUUCCUCUCUCCUCGUUCAAUCAUCUCAGGUUCUUAAAGCGGAUGAGGAGGUGGUAUCGGAUGUGUAUAUUUCUCCGGAAGUGUUUAGAUUGAAUUAUGAGGAAAUAGAGAGGAAAUUUAAGGUGUAUAUAUAUAGAGAUGGAGAUCCGAAGACGUUUUAUCAAACGCCGAGGAAGCUAACGAGGAAGUAUUCUAGUGAGGGAUAGUUCUUCCAGAAUAUUCGAGAGAGUAAGUUUGUUACGGACGAUCCAGAUCUGGCUCACUUGUUCUUCAUUCCGAUCUCUUGUCAUAAGAUGAGAGGAAAGGGCGCAUCAUACGAGUUGUUACGCGGCGCCUUCCUGAAGUUCCUUGGAAGGGCGACGUAAGGCUAAGCAACCGAUGU